GAGGGUGCCCGUGGUGGCGGCCGCCUUUGUGCUGAAUUUCUUCUCUGUUAUGCCUCCUUUGAGGAGUGACCUUUGCAUCCGGGGAUCUGCUCAGUAAUCCCUCCCUCGGGCCAUGGACUCCAGAGACAGACGGGCUGGACGUCAGCCUGGGCUUCCGUCCUGCUGUCCGCACAGAUGCCCCAGGCAGGCCCCAGCCUGUCUUGUUAUUAACACGAGUGUGUCUGAGGCCAGGAGGAUUCUGAGGGGAUUCACGGCAAAGUGUCGUUUACUGUAGUAAGUUUUUAAAAAAUUUUUAAAUAUUCACCAUGUAUUUUGAUCGCCCUGUGAAGCAAAAAUACCCCGCACUUCUAUACCAACGACUUAAUAUGAAGUUAGGAGUCCUGGGAGAUCCACGUUGGCUCUGUAUAAAGGCAAAUCUGUUUAUGCUGCCAUUGCAGCUCCCCAGGCCAAGCCCAGGACAUGGAGGUUCAGGCCACACAGCCAGGGCAGGGCAGAGCUGGGCCAGUCCGUCCACCUCCACUCCUCUCUGGAGUAAGGGAGGCGAGAUUAAUAAAAGGAAAGGCAGCACUCUGGCCUCAUCCCAGUCUGCCGCUGGGGCGGUGUCCCCAGGGUUCUGGUGUACGCUGGUGGAGGCAGGGGUCAGCCUGUGACAUGGUGUCCCCACGUCCUUCCACCCGAGAGUCCGUGGGCUCCUGCCAUCCCUGUCUCAGGAGUGCCCAGUGGGGACAGGGCAGGGGACAGGAAGGUGGUACUGGGGAGACAGAGGGGCUAGGGAGCUCAAGGGGACCCAGGUGUGAGUGAGACUCAGAAAGCUGUCCCCCUGCCCCAGCUCACCCAAGCCAGGCUGCAGCCAAGGCCCCACCAUCAGAGAAGGAGCCGGCCGGCCAGCACUGGCGUCUCUAGCUCCUGGACUGAGAUUAGUGGGAGAAUACAUUUCUGUUUUCUCAGCUGCUCAGUUUGUGGUCCUUUCUUAGAGGACUACCCUAAACACAAAGAAACACAGCGUUGCUGGCAUCCCAUUUGAUUCUUUGUUUACUUCGCAGAAGAAGAAGAAAAGGCGGCCAAGAUGGCCUUCCAAAGGCUCCGUCCCACGUUACCCAUGAAUCCACAGCGAGACAGUGCAGCGGCAAAGGCCAUGAGCUCUGGAGCCACAAAAGCCAGGGCUCACAGCCUAGUGCCCCGCUUUCCUGCUGUGAACCUUGCAACAGUGACUAAGCCCCUCUGGAUUCAAGUUUCCACAUCAAAAACAGGGAUGGUAAUCGUGUGAGGGACCAGCAUAUGCAUUACUAAGUGAUGUGUGCAGAAAUACAAGGUGUGGUGCGGUUUCCCUCUGCCAGGCCCUUCGGCUACACUGUUAUCCCUGAAACUUCUCAACUGCGAGUCCAAAGAACCGCCCCCUCCUUAAGUCACUAGUGCCGAGUGCCACAUCUUGGCAAUGAGAAAGUAACUAAGGCAACAGGUCAAGGACAGAGCCCCGCUGCUUACACUUUGACUCAGGCUCCUGCUCUCCAGAACUAUGAAGCAAUAAAACUGUGCAAGCCAGCAGCUGUGGGACACUUGGUGGCCCACGCAGAUGUGGACACUUGGUGGCCGGACAGAGGGCAUGUGCCAAUGUCAGGCGGCUCCGGGAGGGGAGGAAGGGAGAAGACAGGCAGAGCGUGAGUCGUCCUUCUGUCCCCAGAAAGAGGCUGGCUGAGACGGACAGGCGCAGAGCGCCUAUAAGGCAGUAAUUAACAGUCGCAGGCUUGUCCCCUCAUCCGAUGCUUUGGGGCAUUGUACGAGUCUCCAUUUUGCUGACUUUGGAGAAAAGAAUGGCGAUAAAUAAAUGUAAAGCACACUGGUGAUGGUGUGAAAUGAUGCUUCAUCUAAUUAUCGCUAUUCCGCGGUGUCAUUAACAUACACUCGUGGAGAAUGGUAAUGACUUUUGCAUUUAUAUCACAGCUCGGAUUUGCUGUCUUAAACCCACAGCGCAGGAACCCUGGGACGGAAUCUCUUACAGACAAACGAGAGGAAUGCACGACCAGGGGCAGGCGGAGAUGGCCAUUCUGGGUAGCACAGCUGUGACCCAAGGGUCACAGAACUCAAGAUGGUGGUCAGCAGCCCUGCUGGGGGUGUGGCCUGUGCUGAGAAGAGAGAGGGGCCAGCAAGACCUCAACCACUCAAGAAUCAGACCAGAAGCUGCAUAAGGAUGGAGCCAAGAAGUCGCUAAGACCAAGGCCAGAGAGCUGCAAUGGAACCGUAAGGACUCGAGGCACAGUGUGAGGGGGCAGAGGCAAAAGACAGAGGAAACGAGAUACCAGGAGGCAAGGAGAGGCAGUGGGUGGAGGAAAGCAGGUGGCAGGCGAGGGCUGGGCAUGGAGACACAGCAAGGCACCCACGGAGCAGAGGCUGAGAGGAGCGACCCUGCCAGCCGUGCCACACCUGCAACUGGUCCUGGUCCUGCCUCAAGGGUGAGCCCUGCACCCUGGAGCAUCUCACCACGCUCCUCCCAAGCAUUGGUCCUAACAGCCAGAAACCGGAAACAACUAAAGCACUCACAGGCAGAGGAAGACUUGUGACUUGUAGGAGACCCACGGUGGGAUAUUACACAGGUAUGAAGAUGAAUGGACAGCAGCUGUGCACCAAGAGUUUAAAUGAGCCUCAGGGGCGUCGUGGUGGACCCCAGAAGCUGGUCCCAGAAGACCACACAGGCCACGAGCUUCUCAGAGCCACCGAGCCUGCUGUUUGAUUUCACAAUUGUGUGCCAACCACUUAACGCAGGAAGAUAUUACUUAUAA